rnacentral:rRNA from 1 species
GAUGAACGCUAGCGGCAGGCCUAAUACAUGCAAGUCGAGGGGUAGUGGUUGCUUGCAGCCAUGAGACCGGCGCACGGGUGCGUAACGCGUAUGCACCCUACCUUCAUCUGGGGGAUAGCCCGGAGCAAUCCGGAUUAAUACCGCAUAAACUCACAGUACUGCAUCGUACCAUGAUCAAACAUUUAUGGGAUGGAGAUGGGCAUGCGGGUCGCUAGUUAGUUGGCGGGGUAACGGCCCACCAAGACCGCGAUCACUAGGGGAUCUGAGAGGAUGACCCCCACACUGGUACUGAGACACGGACUAGACUCCUACGGGAGGCAGCAGUAAGGAAUAUUGGUCAAUGAGCGCAAGCCUGAACCAGCCAUGCCGAGUGCAGGAAGACGGCCCUCUGGGUUGUAAACUGCUUUUAUUCGGGAAUAAACCUGCUUACGUGUAAGUAGCUGAAUGUACCGAAGGAAUAAGGAUCGGCUAACUCCGUGCCAGCAGCCGCGGUAAGAC